GGAAUAUUGGGCAAUGGACGAGAGUCUGACCCAGCCAUGCCGCGUGCAGGAAGACGGCGUUCUGCGUUGUAAACUGCUUUUAUCUGGGACGAAAAGGCCCAUGCGUGGGACAUUGCCGGUACCAUAUGAAUAAGCACCGGCUCACUCCGUGCCCGCAGCCGCGGUAAUACGGAGGGUGCACGCGUUGUCCGGAAUUAUUGGUUUUCAAGGGUGCGUAGGCGGCUAUUUAAGUCAGCGGUGAAAGACAUCGGCUCAACCGAUGCAGUGCCAUUGAUACUGGAUAGCUUGAGUGUUGGAGGGGUACAUGGAAUUGAUGGUGUAGCGGUGAAAUGCAUAGAUACCAUCAGGAACACCGAUAGCGAAGGCAUUGUACUGGCCAACAACUGACGCUGAGGCACGAAAGCAUGGGGAGCGAAC
rnacentral:rRNA from 1 species